rnacentral:misc_RNA from 1 species
UGAUGAGCACAUGAAAGAAAACAACAAUAAAUUCAGAUAUAUAUUUUCGAUAUGCCAACUUUUCCACUAGAUAGGCAGCAAGAGAAAAGACUGGAAGAGUAAGACAGCACAUAAGAAGAGGCCAAUCUCUCAAUGACCUUGAACUAAACCAAAACCCAGUCUUAAUUAGCCAACCAUACUUCAUUAGAUUCUCAAUAAUAAGCCUGCUGUUAACGGCAACAAGCACUACUAUGCAGAGGUUGAAGAGACCAGCAUGACUUUGUUUAAAUAUAGCAUCAGAGCUAAGUGGACUCUCCUUGAGCACACGAUGAGCCGGCACUGAU